CUGGCUUUCCAUAUCCGGCCGCCACUGCUGCAGCUGCAUACCGAGGGGCUCACCUUCGAGGCCGUGGUCGCACCGUGUACAACACCUUCAGAGCUGCGGCGCCCCCACCCCCAAUCCCGGCCUAUGGCGGUGUUGUUUACCAGGAUGGAUUUUAUGGUGCAGACAUUUAUGGUGGUUACGCUGCAUACCGCUACGCCCAGCCCACCCCUGCCACUGCUGCUGCCUACAGUGACAGAAAUCAGUUCGUCUUCGUUGCAACAGAUGAAAUUUCUUGUAACACCUCGGCAGUUACGGACGAGUUUAUGCUGCCGACCCCUACCACCACACACUUGCUCCAGCCCCCACCUACGGCGUUGGUGCCAUGAAUGCUUUUGCGCCCUUGACCGAUGCCAAGACUAGGAGCCAUGCUGAUGAUGUGGGUCUCGUUCUUUCUUCAUUGCAGGCUAGUAUAUACCGAGGGGGAUACAACCGUUUUGCUCCAUAUUAAAUGAUAAAACCAUUAAACAAACAAACAAAAAACAAAACAAAAACAAAAAAACCAACCUUCCAAUGUGGGGAGAGAGGAAGCUUUCCGAGGCCCGAGUGUUGCGACACAUGCAGUAGGACAUCACUUUAGCAACUCAAAGAAACAACUAAAAAAAAAAAAAAUCAAAAAAAAGAGGAAAAAUUACAUUUUUUAUCUUAUACCUCAGAUAUUUUGUUCUGUGUAUUUUAAUAUUGUGGGUCUUUGGUUUAUGAAGGUUUUUGUAGUUCAGUUGCUGGCUGUAGGAGUUUUUGUGGUUGAUCUAGAGAGAGGCUAGAUAUAAAUAAAAACCGAUUUAGGGCCAUAUCCAGAGUGCUAUAUUAUGUAAAUGGAUUAUAUAUGCCGAACAUGAAGCUACUGGGGUUACGCUGUUUGGGAAGACUGUAAGUGGCAAGUCAUUCUUUCUGCAUCUAUAUUAUUUUAUUCUGUGAAAGGGGAGGCCGGGAGGGGCUUAGGGGUUUGGGACUGGGGUUUGGCUGAAAGGAAAAAAAAAGAAAAUAUAUAUAUAUAUAAAUACAUAUAUAUAGUAACUGAUGAAUCUAAAUGACCCACUGCACCAACUAUCAUAAAUCUAUGGUUCGAAGUUACUCCUGGCAAAGGCAAGCCAAAGGCUGUGUUAAGAAUCUGCUUCUUAUAGCACGGAGAUUGCAGUUGAACGAAGCUGUGACGGUCCGCCCUCUUAUCAUUCCACCGCAGUACGCAGCUUCUUACCUACCCACUAGUUAUUUAAGCCAAGGCUACUAGUUAGGCCAUCAAUAAGCAUUCUUUUUAUAUUUCUUCCAGUAUGAGAAAUUAUUGAUAUCACUGCUGACUUUUAUAUUACGGGAGGGAAAAUUAACAUUAAUAAAAGGUGAUAAAAAGCACUGUUUCUAUUUUUUUCUUUUUUUCCAAAAAAGAAAGUAAUAAAAACUUAAAUUCUUUGUACCAGUUAAAAAUAUGUAUAAAAUUUACAUCUGUGCAGUGGAGUUAUGUUCUAGAAACAGUCUCUGAGGCUUUAGUUUUAGCUUAGUAGAUUAACUGUUAGAGACAGACGUAUAAUUUUUAUGGAAUUACAUGAUAAUCAUAUCUGGAUUUAUAGUCGCAUUUUACAAGUAUCGCAAUCAUUGAAUAGAGAUAAUCACGGUAUUUUCAUCAGCUUGAUACUUUUUGAAAACAUGACUGCGCUGUGAGCAACUUGCAAUUUUUCAGUCUGUGAGAGCCUGCCCUUCCUUCUCCCCAGUGCCCCAGGGUUAUGUUAAACUGGUGUCUUUACUUCUAUCGCCAAGGCCCAAGACAAUUGUCAGAAGGAAGCAAAAACAAGACAAAAAACAAAACUAGAACCAUGCCCUCCUUCCCCAAAGAGCAGUGUCUGCCGCAUCCUUUUCCGGAGCAGGGCCAGAGCAACACAGCCGAAAAAUUGCAGCUUGUGAAUUUCUUCUGUUUGAAUCCCCCCAUGUUGUCCUGUUUACAAGUUAACCUAAGUUGGGGUAUCUGUCAUGGGUCUUCCUGUUUUUGUAUUUAAAUUCUAAAAUAUCAGCAAGCUGUUCCCUGAGUAGUGUUUUUGCCUGUGUGUGCAGUGCCGGCCCCACGGCACGCACUUUAGUAAGUUAUCAACUCACGCUGUGAACCUGCCAAUCUGCUGUAACAACUCUGCUUUAAAAUCAAAACCAAACAAAACUUUAAAAAGAAAAAAAAAAGUGUUUGUGAUCCAGCUUUUCCUCAUCAUCCUACGUGCAUGCCCGUAAGAUCGGUUGGAUAUUAAACCAUCAAUAAAGUUUCAUGAGAUUUGAAAACAAAGUUUUCGUAGCUUCGAUAUCUAAGACAGAGGAUCAUGGUUUGGGAGAGGAAGAAAAGCAAGGGGCGAGGAGGGGAAGGGAGAGAGACUGCUGAACUGGUGAGAAGAGGAAAAAAAAUCUAGGAACUGGUCUUCUUUCACCAGACCUCUUUGAGUAGGGAGAGAUGGGGCCAGAGGGGGACAGGUUGACAACAUCACGUUCCCACUCCCCUGGCCUGCUACAGUGCGCACCUGGUUGAUGUUACCCAAGGCAACAAUUUAUCAUGAUGCUGUAGCAUUCGACCCCAGAUGGGGUCAAGGUAGUAAAAGGAAGGGGCUGCACAAAGGUCAACAGACUCCUCCCAGUCGCCCCAGCUUUCCAAGCCUAGAACCUGCAUUGUGUAUGAAAUCACAAACAUGGAAUUCUUACUGUGCUGGCUAAAGUAAAACUCAUUUGCGGUUUUGAUUUCCAUCAACGAACUGUACUUUCCCCCACGACCGUAUGUAGUUUUAAUAAAAAUCAUUUAGAGCAAGUGGGUGCCAACCGAUGUCGCAGAACCUUUUGUCUAGGCACUCCGCUGAGCUGCCGAUAAGUCGUUUUAAACUGUCAUGUCAGAGGUGUAAACAAACAUUUUGGAUUUUUUAAAACAACAGUAUUUAUUUGGAAUGUUUUCAUUUAUCUAAAUAACUAUUGCUAUUAUGAAUUAUGGAAAAAAGAUUAAUGUGGCAUAUAGUGACUUCUUAACACACAUCACUCAAUCUGCAAACCCAGAAAAUGUGUAUAUCUGUCUUUAGAAAUUAGUGUUUAUAUCACUUACAGUGGUUUGUGAAUAAAGAAAACUGGUUUGUAAUAUCAAAAAAUAAAAGCUUAGUCUGAAAAGGUACCUGUAA
rnacentral:lncRNA from 1 species